CAAUAGCGUAUAUUAAAGCUGUUGCAGUUAAAAAGCUCGUAGUUGGAUCUCGGUUGAGGGCUUGCGGUCCACCUCGGCGUGGUCACUGCUCGUCCCGAACCACGGACCGGCUCUCCCUUGAUGCUCUUAGGUGAGUGUCUCGGGUGGCCGGUGAGUUUACUUUGAAAAAAUUAGAGUGUUCAAGGCAGGCGGCACGCCUGGAUAAUGGUGCAUGGAAUAAUGGAAUAGGACCUCGGUUCUAUUGCGUUGGUUUUCGGAACCCCGAGGUAAUGAUUAAGAGGGACAGACGGGGGCAUUCGUAUUACGGCGUUAGAGGUGAAAUUCAUGGAUCGCCGUAAGACGGACUACUGCGAAAGCAUUUGCCAAGAAUGUUUUCAUUAAUCAAGAACGAAAGUCAGAGGUUCGAAGACGAUCAGAUACCAU
rnacentral:rRNA from 1 species